AGAGUUUGAUUAUGGCUCAGAACGAACGCUGGCGGCAGGCUUAACACAUGCAAGUUGAACGGGAUUGUUGGGUGCUUGCAUCUGACAAUGAGAGUAGCGCACUGGUGAGUAACACGUGGGAACAUGCCUUUUGGUGGGGGACAACAGGAGGAAACUUCUGCUAAUACCGCAUAAGCCCUAAGGGGGAAAGAUAUAUUGCCGAAAGAUUGGCCCGCGGAAGAUUAGGUAGUUGGUGGGGUAAAGGCCUACCAAGCCGACGAUCUAUAGCUGGUCUGAGAGGACGAACAGCCACAUCGGAACUGAGACACGGUCCAGACUCCUACGGGAGGCAGCAGUGAGGAAUAUUGGGCAAUGGAGGAAACUCUGAACCCCCAGCCAUGCCGCGUGAGUGAAGAAGGUUUUCGAAUUGUAAAGCUCUUUCGGAUGUGACGAUAAUGACGGUAACAUCUAAAGAAGCCCCGGCAAACUACGUGCCAGCCGCCGC
rnacentral:rRNA from 1 species